UAGGGAAUCUUCCGCAAUGGACGAAAGUCUGACGGAGCAACGCCGCGUGAGUGAAGAAGGAUUUCGGUUCGUAAAACUCUGUUGUUAGGGAAGAAAAAAUGUAUAGUAACUAUAUACAAAAGAGACGGUACCUAACCAGAAAGCCACGGCUAACUACGUGCCAGCAGCCGCGGUAAUACGUAGGUGGCAAGCGUUGUCCGGAAUUAUUGGGCGUAAAGCGCGCGCAGGUGGUUUAGAAAGUCUGAUGUGAAAGCCCACGGCUCAACCGUGGAGGGUCAUUGGAAACUAGUAAACUUGAGUGCAGGAGAGAAAAGUGGAAUUCCUAGUGUAGCGGUGAAAUGCGUAGAGAUUAGGAGGAACACCGGUGGCGAAAGCGGCUUUUUGGCCUGCAACUGACACUGAGGCGCGAAAGCGUGGGGAGCAAACAGG
rnacentral:rRNA from 2 species